rnacentral:rRNA from 1 species
AUAACGGUCCUAAGGUAGCGAAAUUCCUUGUCGGGUAAGUUCCGACCUGCACGAAAGGCGCAACGACUUGGGCGCUGUCUCGACCAUGGACCCGGUGAAAUUGCACUGGUCGUGAAGAUGCGACUUACCCGCGGAAGGACGGAAAGACCCCGUGAACCUUCACUGCAGCUUGGCAUUGGCCGCUGGUCCCGCGUGUAGAGGAUAGGCAGGAGGCAUCGAUCCGGAGGCGCCAGCCCCCGGGGAGCCGCCCUUGGAAUACUGCCCUCGCGCGACCGGCGUCCUAACCCGAGGCCGUCAACCGGCUCGGGGACCGUGCCAGGCGGGCAGUUUGACUGGGGCGGUCGCCUCCUAAAGGGUAACGGAGGCGCGCGAAGGUCCGCUCGGGACGGUCGGCAACCGUCCUUUUGAAUGCAAGAGUACAAGCGGGCUUGACUGCGAGGCCCACAAGCCGAGCAGGUGCGAAAGCAGGCUCUAGUGAUCCGGCGGCCCCGAGUGGGUGGGCCGUCGCUCAACGGAUAAAAGGUACUCCGGGGAUAACAGGCUGAUCUUGCCCAAGAGUCCACAUCGACGGCAAGGUUUGGCACCUCGAUGUCGGCUCAUCGCAUCCUGGGGCUGGAGCAGGUCCCAAGGGUACGGCUGUUCGCCGUUUAAAGCGGUACGCGAGCUGGGUUCAGAACGUCGUGAGACAGUUCGGUCCCUAUCCUCCGUGGGCGCAGGAGAAUCGAUGGAGGCUGCCCCCAGUACGAGAGGACCGGGGUGGACGCACCUCCGGUGAACCGGUUGUCGACCAACGGCACGGCCGGGUAGCCGCGUGCGGCGCGGAUAACCGCUGAAGGCAUCUAAGCGGGAAGCCGUUCCAGGGAUUAGUUCUCCUUCCGGUAAGGGCCCAGGUAGACUACCUGGUCGAUAGACGGCAGGUGCAAGGGCGGCGACGUCCUCAGCCGAGCCGCACUAAUCGCCCGAGCUCUUCCGGAA